CCGCUCAGGUGUGCCAGCAGCCGCGGUAAUACGAGAGGUCUCAAGCGUUGUUCGGAAUCACUGGGCGUAAAGCGUGCGUAGGCGGUUUCGUAAGUCGUGUGUGAAAGGCGGGGGCUCAACCCCGGACUGGCACAUGAUACUGCGAGACUAGAGUAAUGGAGGGGGACCGGAAUUCUCGGUGUAGCAGUGAAAUGCGUAGAUAUCGAGAGGAACACUCGUGGCGAAGGCGGGUUCCUGGACAUUAACUGACGCUGAGGCACGAAGGCCAGGGGAGCGAAAGGG
rnacentral:rRNA from 1 species